rnacentral:rRNA from 1 species
UACGUAGGGUGCGAGCGUUUAAUCGGAAUUACUGGGCGUAAAGCGUGCGCAGGCGGUUUUGUAAGUCUGUCGUGAAAUCCCCGGGCUCAACCUGGGAAUUGCGAUGGAGACUGCAAGGCUAGAAUCUGGCAGAGGGGGGUAGAAUUCCACGUGUGAGCAGUGAAAUGCGUAGAGAGUGUGGAGGAACGACCGAUGGCGAAGGCAGCCCCCUGGGUCAAGAUUGA